rnacentral:lncRNA from 1 species
AUCACCAUCGACUACCAAAUUGCUCAAAUCAAAUAAAUAGGUAGUACUUCUUCUUUGUUUGGUGUGGAAAUAAUGAGUAUUUGUAAUUUUGUUUGUUCAAAAAAAAAACAUUGUAACUUAUUUCAAAAUUGAUAAAAAAGAAAAAAUACUAUAUCUUUCAUGUUCUGAUCUAACCAUGACUAAUUAAUCAUCGAAACUGCAAUGUAAUCUUUAAACUAUGUAAACUUCAUUUUCUCCAAUUACUAUAUUUACUUUUUCUCACGUCUUCCUAAUUUUUUUUUACAAUCUACUUUUCUAAAUGAUUGAUAUAUGUUGCGUUAAAAACACACCUAGAGCAAGUGUACUCUAGCGCAGAAGUAGUAUAAAAGAUUAUCGUAUCCACAUGGAUUAAUUAACAAGUACCAAACUAUUUAAGAUUAUUUAUUAUUUAAACUAACGAGUAGUUGAGUUGUCAUGAAAACUAAAGAGAAAAUACUGACGAGUAAGAAUAAGAACAAGAAUAAAAACGUGAAGUUGUAAACCAGUAGAGAGAGGUAGGGUCAUGGUUUCACUUGCAAUAUUCGGUUCCCUAUGUCUAGUUCCAUUUGAAUUCCUUUAUUUUAAUUCAAUUACCAAUCCUUUUACUAAAACUAUUAAUCCGUUUGGUCAUUCGUGAUUAAUAUUCUUUUUCCUAAAUUAACCUUUGUUUGGUCAUGCAAAGAGUUGAAAUUUAAGAAAAGCAUAAAGUGCAAAAAGGUUGAAUGAUUGGAAGACUAAGAUUAAAGUUUGGUCAUGCAAUAAUUAUAGUCUCAUUUAUCGUAUAGGUCCAUCAAUUAACUGCAGUACGGUCGCUGAUCAAUCAAUUGAUUAUAAACAUUCAUAGGUUGAUCAUUCCUACUUAUGUGAUAAAAUCAAUAGGAUAAAAUUAAUUGAACAAAAUACCGAAAUUCAAAUUAGAAACUGGAACAUAUAGCUAAGAAGACAUAGCAAAAGGAAUUUUAAUUGCAAGAUCCACGAAAAACCCUAGAAUAAUAUUUAGCUAUCCAUAAUCAAAAAGAACACUAAGAUAGAAGUAGAAUUCAUGAAAUUAAGAGUAAGGAAUAACCCUAGAAUGAAGAAAAUAUGUUGCUCCAAAGUUUCAAUCUUCAAUCCAAAGCUCUUCCAAUGUAUCACGAUCAGUAACUUCAAUGAAUCUCAAUUUGUGAUUUUUUUUUCCUCUCACGGUCGUGAAUAGAAGAAAGCGUAAUUCCCAAUUGCAACUAAGAAGCUCUAUUUAUAACCCUCUUGAUUAAAUAUGUCUUCAAGUGUAAGCAUCCUCUUUUUUUUUCACCGCCAAAACCAGCCAUCAUCCACUUGUUAAAUCUCUCAAU